AUGCAGCUGCGGGCGGAGCCGGCCGGUGCCGCAGAGCCGCCUCCCCGGCGCACGCUGGGGCCGCCCGGCAGCGCCUGCGGAGCGCCCCCCGCUGCCCCCCGGGUACCCCCCGGGUGCCCCCCGGUGCCCCCCGGUGCGGCGGAGGCCGGGGGGCAGGAUGCGAGCCCCUCGGCGGAGGUGAGGCCACGGGGGCUGGGGGCGCGCGGGGGGUCCGCGGGCACCCGUGGGGAGGUGGCCGGGGGCGACCGCGGGGCUGGGACACGCGUGGGGGCUGCGGGACCCCCCCCAUCGCCCUGCCCGGCCCCUGCGCAUCCCCCCGGGGGAGCCGCGGGAUGGGGACGGGGCCUCAUCCAGCACCGUGCCGUGGGGACCCGUGGGUGCUGGGCAGGGCGUGCUGUGCCACACGGCGGGGCCGAGCUGCUGGGUGGCACCGGGGUGGCACCAGGAUGGGGUCACCGCGCAGGUGGGCCCUGCUGGGAGCAGCGGUGGCCCUGCAGUGGGGCCGUGAUUUGGGGCGCAGGCUGCGGGGCUCUCCCCAUCUCCCCCAAAUUCCCGCUCCAGCAGCAGCAGGAGGUGAGUCCCUGGCUCUGUGCGGUGCUGGGCACCUUGGGGACGCUGUGCCAUGGGGCAGCAGCCUCCCUCCUGCACCCCGCUGUGGCCGUGGCCCUCGCCCCGUGGCACCCCGGGGUGCUGGUCCCGGUGCAGCCGCUGGGAUGCUGUGAGUCAGCGGGUGCCGUGAGUCAGGGCCGCGUGGCACCCCUCGUGCCAGGCUGCCCGCGGGGCCCAGGGCACGCUGGCUGCGAGGGUGGGGGGCCCCAGGGGUCUGCACCCAGGGGUCUGCACCCCAGGGAUGUGCACCCCAGCUCUGCUCCGUGCUCCAGGGGUGGCACAGCCGGCAUGAAAGGGCUCUUGUCCUCCUGCAGCACCGCCCUGACCUCCCCUUUGCUGCUGAUGAAUUCCCAGCCUUGUCCCCGCAGCCCGGCACAGGGUUCCCAGUUUGGGUACUGGGCGUGCUGGCCGGGCUGUGGGAGCCACAGGGGCCUGGCACGCCCCUGCCUGGGUGUUUCAGCACCGUGGGCAUCGUGCUGCUGGGCUCCUUCCACGCCUCGGUGGGUGUCUGCGUGGGCGCUGUGCCCCCGGGUAUCACAGCUCCGUGGUGUUUGGAUAUCGUGCGUCCUUGGGUAUCGUGUCUCGGGGUGUCACGCUUCUGGGAAUCGUGCUUCUUUGGAUUUUGUGCCACUGAGUGUUUGGCCUCCUCGGGUGUUAUGCCUUUGGGUACCGAGCUGCUUGGAUGUCACGGCUCUGGGUGCCUCAGGUUGGUUUUGGGUGCCUCUGGGUGCCUUUGGGUGCCUUUGGGUGGCUCUGGGUGCCUCUGGGUGCCUCUGGGUGCCGUGCGUCCUCACGUAUGAUGCCUGGCGGGGUGCAGGGCCAUGCACUGGAGCUGUCAUGCUCCAAUUUCCCCUCCUGGCAGGUUGUUCCCCUGCUCGCUGCCAGGCUGUGGUGCUGUGUGCCCUGCUCGUGAGGUGCCUGCGGUGUGCCCAGCUCCGGGGACACGGCCCUGGGGCACCCGCUGUGCCACAUGUUACAAAAACGUGGGGAUUAGGAAAAGGAAAAUACAGAAAAAUGAUUUUGUUUUAUUUUAAGGAAAAAAAAAAAAAAACACACACAACAAUCUGUUUUCUUUAUUCUUUAAACCCCGAAAUGACUCACGCUUCCCUGCUGAAAAUAAACCUGAUGGCGGCUGCCGCCAGCAGCGGGUGA
rnacentral:lncRNA from 1 species